GAUGAACGCUGGCGGCGUGCCUAAUACAUGCAAGUCGAGCGAAUGGAUUAAGAGCUUGCUCUUAUGAAGUUAGCGGCGGACGGGUGAGUAACACGUGGGUAACCUGCCCAUAAGACUGGGAUAACUCCGGGAAACCGGGGCUAAUACCGGAUAACAUUUUGAACCGCAUGGUUCGAAAUUGAAAGGCGGCUUCGGCUGUCACUUAUGGAUGGACUCGCGUCGCAUUAGCUAGUUGGUGAGGUAACGGCUCACCAAGGCAACGAUGCGUGGCCGACCGGGGAGGGUGAUAGGCCACACUGGGACUGAGACACGGCCCAGACUCCUACGGGAGGCAGCAGUAGGGAAUCUUCCGCAAUGGACGAAAGUCUGACGGAGCAACGCCGCGUGAGUGAUGAAGGCUUUCGGGUCGUAAAACUCUGUUGUUAGGGAAGAACAAGUGCUAGUUGAAUAAGCUGGCACCUUGACGGUACCUAACCAGAAAGCCACGGCUAACUACGUGCCAGCCGCCGCAGUAA
rnacentral:rRNA from 1 species